CAUGGUCUUUUUGAUUAUAAUUUAAGAUUUAAUCUGCUCAAUGAUUGUUUAAAUUGCCGCAGUAUUUUAAUUGUGCAAAGGUAGCAUAAUAAUUAGUUUCUUUAUUGGGGGCUGGUAUGAAUGAUUGGACGAUAAAAUGGCUGUUUCUUUAUAAAUAUUUAAUUAAUUUUAUAUUUUAGUUAAAAAGCUUAAAUUUGUUUAAAAGACGAGAAGACCCUAUAGAGUUUAAUAUAAAUUUAUUAUUAAAUUAUAGAAUAUUUAUUAAUAAGUAAUUAUUUAGUUGGGGUGACUUAAAAAUUUAUAAAAUUUUUUAAAUUUAAUAUUUUUAAUUAAAAAAUAUUUAAUCUUUUAUGUAAAGUUAAAAUAAAUUACCUUAGGGAUAACAGCGUAAUUUUCUUUUAAGUUCUUAUUAACUGGGAAGUUUGCGACCUCGAUGUUGGAUUAAAAUUUAUUUUGGGUGUAGUAGUUCAAAAUUUAAGUCUGUUCGACUUUUAAAAUUUUACAUGAUCUGAGUUUAGACCGGCGUGAGCCAGGUUAGAUUCUAUCUUUAAUUUAUUAAAAUUUUUUAGUACGAAAGGACCAAUUAUUUAUUAAAUUGAUUG
rnacentral:rRNA from 1 species